CCGAAGGUUGGCCUGGGUAAAGUAACGCCAACGAAAAAAACUUGCCCGCCCGUCGUUUCCUUGGCGACGUGUCCCGUGACUCUGUGCGCCAGUCCGCGUGUUUAAAGCCUCAGUUCGUCGUCUUCCAAGAGAAGCGGUGCCGACACACGCGGGUGCCUAAGCAAGCAGGGUCGUCUGGGGGCACGCGCCAUCGUCUGAAAACACUUCGCAGAACCCCGUGAAAGAAAAAAGCAUUAUGCGAUGUCGGGCGAGAGGCGUCUCGCCGAGUUUGCCAAAAGCUCGAAACAAAGCGCACCCCACACUUCAACCCCAAACAAACUCUGAAUCUGAACUCAAAAGGAGGCUGGACCUCCCCUCGAAAGAGAAGAGAGGAGGAAUGCCUCCUCAACCUUUUAACGUU
rnacentral:misc_RNA from 1 species